GGUGAACGCUGGCGGCGUGCUUAAGACAUGCAAGUCGAACGGCAGUCUUCGGACUGUAGUGGCGCACGGGUGAGUAACGCGUAACUGACCUACCCCAAAGUCGCGGAUAACGAUUCGAAAGAAUCGCUAAUACGUGAUGUGCUGUCAGAUUGUGUUCUGCCAGUAAAGAUUGAUUGCUUUGGGAUGGGGUUGCGUUCCAUCAGCUAGUUGGUGGGGUAAAGGCCCACCAAGGCGACGACGGAUAGCCGGCCUGAGAGGGUGGCCGGCCACAGGGGCACUGAGACACGGGUCCCACUCCUACGGGAGGCAGCAGUUAGGAAUCUUCCACAAUGGGCGAAAGCCUGAUGGAGCGACGCCGCGUGAGGGAUGAAGGUCUUCGGAUCGUAAACCUCUGAAUCAGGGACGAAAGACACUUCGGUGGGAUGACGGUACCUGAGUAAUAGCACCGGCUAACUCCGUGCCAGCCGCCGCAGUAACAC
rnacentral:rRNA from 1 species